AAGUGCACGAGCCUCAGUAAAAUAUUCUCGCUUUCGAUUCGUCGAAGUGUAAUUCAUCCAGUAGUUUUUUUUAAAUUUCUUCUCGCUUUGUGCGGAACAAGUCGAACAACUACCUAGUAACAGUGCUUUAGUGUUAAAAUGAAGAUGUUGAUGUUUUCAGUUCUGUUGGUGCUCGCGUUCGCAGCCGCCAGCCAUGCUCAAGGAGGCGGGAUCAGUGGAGGCUGUAUUUGCCCGGCAAUCUACAAACCGGUGUGCGGAACAAACGGUGUCACAUAUUCAAACUCUUGCCAAGCCCAGUGUCAAGGGGUAGGAGUUGCUUAUCAAGGCCAGUGCAGACAAGGAUAACCACAAAAGACGGUUUUUUACAACAUUUAUGGUCCCUCCAAUGAUAUCAGAAUAAAAGUAAAUACAGUCUAAUUUCUUUGGCUACUGCAUGGAGUGUAGACAUUGCGACUGCAUUAUUUAGCACCUGGGUACGGUAAUUUAAUUAGUUGUGCCAGUUGCCAAUUGGCUUACAAUUAUUUAUCAGCUUUAGUAAUCAAGCAGCGUACGUCGUGCUACAAAUUAAAACCCAAUGAAAAAGCUUA